rnacentral:rRNA from 1 species
UACGGAGGGUGCAAGCGUUAUCCGGAUUCACUGGGUUUAAAGGGUGCGUAGGUGGGUCUGUAAGUCAGUGGUGAAAUCUCCAGGCUUAACUUGGAACUGCCGUUGAUACUAUAGACCUUGAAUGCUGUGGAGGUGAGCGGAAUAUGUCAUGUAGCGGUGAAAUGCUUAGAUAUGACAUAGAACACCAAUUGCGAAGGCAGCUCACUACCCAGAUAUUGACACUGAGGCACGAAAGCGUGGGGAUCAAACAGG